AGGAGAGAGGAGGAGGAGAAGGAGGAGGGCCCCAUCACCCACCCUUCCCUCCACCAUCAUUCCAUUUCACCCCCUCUCCUCUCCUCUCCUCUCCUCUCCUCUCCUCAUAUUACUACUAUAAGUUAUAACCUCUCUCUCUCCUUCAAUUAAACUAGAUUAACUAAAAGCUCAAGAAGAAGAAGAAACUGAAAUCGGAGGAUCAAUAUCACAUUUAUACUGAUCGAUCGAGGAUAAAGCUAGGGAUGCUUAAAUCAGCUGAAGAACUUGGUCAAGGCUGAAUCGAUUCAGUUUCAAAUCACAAUUACUAAUUUCUAGGUCAAAUCGAUUGAAAGAGGAUAAUCAAUCGAAGCAAUGGAUCAACUAGCUCACGGCCGCCCUCUUCCGCCGCCGUUCCACGCCCGAGAUCUCCAGCUCCACCACCAGUUCCAGCACGACGACGACCUGAGCGGAAACAACAAUCAUUCCCUGACCCUAAAGCGCGACCGCGACGAGAGCUACGGCGCCAUUAAUAACCCCGACACGACGACCUCCGAAGGCAAAGAGGCGGAGCAGGGCGAGGUCUCACGGCGGCCCCGGGGUCGCCCCGCGGGAUCCAAGAACAAGCCGAAACCGCCCAUCAUCAUCACCCGCGACAGCGCCAACGCCCUCAGAUCCCACGUGAUGGAAAUCGGCAACGGCUGCGACGUCCACGACAGCAUCUCCACCUUCGCCACGCGCCGCCAGAGGGGCGUCUGCAUCCUCAGCGGCACCGGCACCGUCACCAACGUCACCCUCCGCCAGCCCGCCGCCCCCACCUCCGUCCUCACCCUCCACGGCCGCUUCGAGAUCCUCUCCCUCUCCGGUUCCUUCCUCCCUCCCCCGGCCCCUCCCGCCGCCUCCUCCCUCGCCAUCUACCUCGCCGGAUCGCAGGGCCAGGUCGUCGGCGGCACCGUCGUCGGCCCCCUCCUCGCCUCCGGCCCCGUCGUCAUCAUGGCCGCCUCCUUCGGAAACGCCGCCUACGAGCGCCUCCCGCUCGACGAGGAAGACGCGGCGGCGCCUGUUGGGAGCGGAGGAGGGCAGCUGGGAUCGCCGCCGGGGAUGUCAGGGCAGCAGAUGAUGAGUGAUCCCAACGCCGCGGCGGCGAAUCUGUUUCAAGGAAACCCUCAAAAUAUGCUGCAAAUGCCGGCGGCGGAGGCGUAUUGGGCGACAGAGCCCCGGAGAAGCAGAUUUCCAAGGCACAAGUAAGUGUUUGUUGCAGUUGCAGGGAUUAAUGCAGAUGCAGAUAAAGUUUCCACCACAUUUAAACCUCAUUCUGGUCAGAAGUGGUACAUAGUUGAUGAGUUGUCAUCAUGCCUACAACUAGUCUACAAGGAUAUAUACAUGCACAAUGGCAGCAGCAAUUGAGAAGUUCAUGAUCAGCUCACCUCAGAUUUCGGAAACCAGCUUUGCGGUGGGUGUACAUAAUUAUGAAAAAUUUCUUAAGACAAAUAAAUGAAAGAAGUUGCAAUGAUGAAAGGUGAGUUGCGGCAUUCAGGAAUUCCUUCCCCAACUUGAUCGCAGACACGACAGUCACAGAUUCAUUCAACUCUUGGAAUAAUUCAUUUUGGAUGAGAGUCAACAGCAGCAACACAUCAAAUCAAGCUGACAUUUUACUAUUCAAUUUAUGGGUGUUUUUAUUAGUUAGUAUAAAACAAAAUCCCGUGAUAUUUUUGACUUGGGCAGCAAAACACCAUUGGCUCUACAGAAAUGAUAUGUUCUUCAUUUGAUUAUGGUUUAGGUAAGCAGUUCAUCACUCAAAAAUCAAAAUAUUCUCCAAUUUUAAAAAGACGAGUCUUCUAAAUUUGUAAAGUGGAGCAAUGGCGGUGAUGAUCUCAAUGGGUCUAGCCUUGUGGAUGGCCGGGUUGGUUGCUAGGAAAUUCGACAAGAGAAGAUACCAGCCUAUCGCCGGCACCAUAUUCGACCAGCUCCUCAACUUCGGGAGGCUGCACUGUGUAAGAAACGUGUAAAAUAUGGGGAAAC